rnacentral:misc_RNA from 1 species
UCCGGUUUAUCACCGGCAGUCCCCUUAGAGUUCCCGCCAUUACGCGCUGGCAACUAACGAUAAGGGUUGCGCUCGUUGCUGGAUUUAACCAAACACCUCACGGCACGAGCUGACGACAGCCAUGCAGCACCUGUGCACGGGCUCCGAAGAGGGCCUCCCGUUUCUGAGAGGUUUCCCGUGUAUGUCAAGCCUAGGUAAGGUUCUUCGCGUUGCGUCGAAUUAAACCACAUGCUCCACCGCUUGUGCGGGCCCCCGUCAAUUCCUUUGAGUUUCAGCCUUGCGGCCGUACUCCCCAGGCGGGGCACUUAAUGCGUUAGCUACGGCCCUCGGGGGGUCGCUCCCCCAAGCGCCUAGUGCCCAUCGUUUACGGCGUGGACUAC